rnacentral:rRNA from 1 species
GAUCCUGGCUCAGGACGAACGCUGGCGGCGUGCUUAACACAUGCAAGUCGAACGAGAGGACAAGAGAAGCUUGCUUCUUUUGGAAUCGAGUGACAAACGGGUGAGUAACACGUAAACAACCUGCCUUCAGGAUGGGGACAACAGACGGAAACGACUGCUAAUACCGAAUACGCUUGGGAGACCGCAUGAUCUUCCAAGGAAAGGGUGGCCUCUACCUGUAAGCUAUCGCCUGAAGAGGGGUUUGCGU